rnacentral:rRNA from 1 species
UCCUACGGGGGGCAGCAGUAGGGAAUAUUGCACAAUGGACGAAAGUCUGAUGCAGCAACGCCGCGUGCACGAUGAAGGUCUUCGGAUCGUAAAGUGCUUUUCUGGGAGAUGAGAAAGGACAGUAUCCCAGGAAUAAGUCUCGGCUAACUACGUGCCAGCAGCCGCGGUAAAACGUAGGAGGCAAGCGUUAUCCGGAUUCACUGGGCGUAAAGCGCGUGCAGGCGGUUCGGUAAGUUGGGCGUGAAAUCUCCCGGCUUAACUGGGAGAGGUCGUUCAAUACUACCGGACUAGAGAGCAGUAGAGGAAGAUGGAAUUCCCGGUGUAGUGGUGAAAUGCGUAGAUAUCGGGAGGAACACCAGUGGCGAAGGCGAUCUUCUGGACUGCGUCUGACGCUCAUACGCGAAAGCUAGGGUAGUAAACGGGAUUAGAUACCCCGGU